rnacentral:rRNA from 1 species
GAUGAACGCUGGCGGCGUGCCUAAUACAUGCAAGUCGAGCGAAGCGGGGACGGGUGAGUAACACGUGGAUAACCUCCUAUAAGCCUGGGAUAACUUCGGGAAACCGGAGCUAAACCGGACGAUUAUAACUGGAUCCACGCUGCAUUAGCUAGUUGGUAAGGUAACGGAUUACCAAGGCAACGAUGCCUAGACGACCUGAGAGGUUGCUCGGCCACACAGGAACUGAGACACGGUCCAGACUCCUACGGGAGGCGGCAGUAGGGAAUCUUACGCAAUGGGCGAAAGCCGAACGGAGCAACGCCGCGUGUGUAAUGAAGGUCUUCGGAUCGUAAAACUCUGUUAUUAGGGAAGCGUUACCUAAUCAGAAAGCAACGGCUAACUACGUGCCAGCAGCCGCGGUAAUAC